rnacentral:lncRNA from 1 species
AUAAGGCUAUUAUAAAUUAACUGCUAGAUUAUCAUCUUAAUUAAUAAGUUGCAGAGUAGGGGAUUUUAUUUUUGAUAGUAUGCUGUAUGAAAACACAAAAAAAUGAUGCCCUAAAAUGUAGAACCAAAAUACACAGUAUCAUUCACUUUUGAGGUCGGAAAUGUUUCUGCAAAACAAAGUACUGUUUUUACAAAUCAAGAUUCAAAACAAUAUAUAUCGGAUAAUACCUAAUUUUAGCAACAGAAAUAAUGUAUAUGGGACAUAACCACGAUAGUACAGACAAGGUACAGGACACAUACGAAAAGCAGAAUCAUGCAUAUGUACAUGGUUUUUCCGAUGGUAUUUCUUGCAUUUGCCGUUACUCUCGGAGGUACAGAAACAGAUUUCAAUAUAUAUGACACAUUAGAAGUAGGCACAAACUGCACUUUCACAAUAUGGAAUCAAAGUAAGACCUUCUUCGAGAGCAGACUUAUUGCCUUUACACCAAACUUUAUGCACUUUACGCUAGAGCUUCAACACCAUGAUUAUAACGCAACGCCGGCUGUAUUCCGACCUCUUCAUUGGGUGUGGACUUACAUUUCGCCAACUGCAAGUUAUCCGUACCUGUCGUGGAACAUCGAUCACGGACUACUUUCAUUUGGACUACUUGACGUGGAAACCAAGGACAUUCCGUAUGUGAAACUCAAUGUAGAAAAUAAUUGUACGGUUAUCUUUGGGAGUCCAGGUACUACAUCGAAUAUUGUAGAAGCUUUGACUGAUCUUAUCAUGAAUACGGCUGAGAAAAGUUAUCACAAAUAUGAGCUAAGUUUUUUUUUGUUAUCUGGCAGUGGCUCCGGGUAUUCGAGAGAGAACUGAGUAUUAUGCGGCACUUUAUCUCAAUUACCCAAUUGCCUACUUGAAUUACAACUGUUGCAAGGUUACGUUCAGUUACGUGAAUAAUUCAUAUCAACAAGAUUGCGACUUUAAUCAGCAUGAGAAAUGGAUACAGUGCACACUAGGACCAUAUAUUCUUGGACUUAUAAUUUUCAUGUAUUUUCCAAUCCUACUUUUGGAAUUUUGCGCAUGGUUAUCCAAAGAUGAAAAGAUCUAUCGACACGAAGUCGAGAUGAUAAAUAAAACGAGGGAAGAAUAUGAAAGUUUAAACAGAAAUGAAAAAAGAAUGGGUUUUCUUGGAUGGAAAAGCGCCAAUAACACUGCUUGAGUCAUUUAAUUUCUUAUUCUGCGGCCUGAAUCGAAAUCACCCAAUAUUGGUAUCAAGAAUACGUCGGCUAAUCUGCAUUUUGCUGGCACCAUCUGUCAUUUUCAUUCAGGUAAGAAUGUAUGCAGAUGGAAUUGGUAUCAAAGAGUCAAAAAUAACUGUUCCUGAACUGGUUAAGGAAGGAACGCCAAUGGGAUUUCUCUCCCUUCUUGCCGAUAGAGAAGACCGAAUAAAGGUUUUCGCGCCACUUUUUGGCGGACCAGUGUGUCUGCUAAUCAUGUACUACGUCUUGGCUAUCGUAUUUCUCGUUUUCCCGCGUAGUCUAAAGCAGAUCGUAGAACGAGGAAUGCCGAAUACUGACAUCUCGUCUCCUCUCUUUCUACACGUGGACGAGAUCAUAACAUUAUCUAUGGUUUCCGUGUCACCAGAACCAGGGUAUGAAAACUUGCGCUGCUGUGUGCAAAUGUGGUAUAUACAUGAUAUUCAACAAGAAGUUUUGGCUCAGAGUGCUUGAAAUUCAACGAGGAUCGAUUACACUUGAACCAGUAUGACGAACCAAGGCUCACAUGUUGUUUGAAAUAUGCCAUUCUCCCUUUCUACCUGUUAUUUUGUUUACUAGAAAUUCUAUUAUGUACCAUUUACUAUGGUAUUCCAGUGUUUGGAUUUGUGACUAUAAUGGUGAAAGGUGCUGCCAAAUCGUUUUUCAUGUUUCGAAUGCAGAACAGAUAUGUUUCUAUAAUAUUUAGAAACACGUUGUCUGUUUUCCUCGGCACAGUUAUUGUACUGGCUCUGUUUCUGUUCUUCCUUUACUCUGUGUGUUUGAUCUUCGUUCAAAGCUUUUCCUUCAUCUCUCAGAUCAUCAUCUUCUGUUUUGUUGCAGUGAUCGUGUACCCGUCAGUAUCUUUUGGUUAUUUAUUUUUCUUCGUUGUCUUGUUGUAUUAUGUCGUUCGUUUGGUUAAAGAUUUCGGGGAUAGGUUAUUUAGAACUGUUGUCGAUCGCUGUUGAAAAAUCGCAUGACAUGUACAGCCAAAUUAAUCAUUUGUCAGUGUAUGAUGGCCAGCUUCUUCUGUCAAAUGUGCAAGCUCAGGAGAUAAGGGGAAUUCGUGUAAACGACCAGCGACUGGACAUCCCUCAGAAUGUUUUGCAGAGACUGGGCAAAGAGGACAUAGUGAAAAAGAUCGCAGAAAAUGACAAUGUAUUUGGCAUACCUAAACGCUUGUUUGAUGUAAUUGUCCAGACACACAGACCAGUACACAUACAUGUACUCAAAAUACUGUUUCAGCUGAUUUUUGUCAUAUGCCUCGUUACCAUAACAAUGAGCAUAAUCGUCGAAGUUUGCGGACAGGUGCAACAUCAGAGAUUUCUGACGUCAUGCACGUGAUAUUCAUCGUGACCGUUGGAGCGUUGCCGCGCGUGCUUGAAGUAGCGUUAAUGAAUUCCAGCGAAACAGUAAAGCGGGAAAUCGAAAUAAGACGUAUUGAACAGACGAUAAAAGACUACUGGCUUCUUGAAGCAGACAAUGGUUUCACAUUUGAGUCAUAAGAAAUUUUCAAUAAAUUUUGUUCCCUUUCCAAAAAACUGAUCACAUUGUGAACCAUAUUAUUGAUUAAUAUCUUAUGAAGAUAGCUUGUAAAAAGACUGGAACGCUGACAUAAAGUGUUUAAGUAAAGAUGAUUUUCAUAAGCAUUAAAUGAUAAUGAAAACAAAUAUUUGAUGUAUAUAACUCUACAUGAAACGAAUAAUUCAAUAUUAAUAAGAGACGGCAGUCAUACAGGUCUUCAAACGUUUAUCGUGUGAUACAGUAGCGAGAGUGUAAAACGGUGAUGUCAAACUGAAUGAAUGUAGUUUCAAACAUACGCUUCUUAGAUUCAUGGACAAUCAAGGCUUGAUGAUAGAGAGGAUUCGCUGAAGUCCUUUAUAAUCUUGAACUAUAUGUAUAAGUAACAACUGACAAAGAAUAAAUAUAAAACAGUUAUAAAACGCAGUACAUAGGAUCUUCAAGAUCACCGGUAUUUGUAAACAACUUUUAAGGCAUUGUACAGAUGUGAUUUGUGUUCGAUUAGACACCAAGUUGUAUUUUCUCAUUUCCCUUCAAAACUGUUACAUUUCACAGCAAGUUUAAGAAUGGUAAAUAAAAUGGGAUAACUAUG